UGAAAUCUGGCCGUUCUGCGGUCCGAGUUGUAAUUUGUAGAGGAUGCUUCGGGUGCGGCGCCGGUCUAAGUUCCUUGGAACGGGACGUCAUAGAGGGUGAGAAUCCCGUACGUGACCGGCGAUCAAGCCCGUGUGAAGCUCCUUCGACGAGUCGAGUUGUUUGGGAAUGCAGCUCUAAAUGGGUGGUAAAUUUCAUCUAAAGCUAAAUACCGGCCAGAGACCGAUAGCGCACAAGUAGAGUGAUCGAAAGAUGAAAAGCACUUUGGAAAGAGAGUUAAAAAGUACGUGAAAUUGUUGAAAGGGAAGCGCUUGCGACCAGACUUGCCCGUGGGCGAUCAGCCGUCCUUCUGGGCGGUGCACUCGCCCGCGGUCAGGCCAGCACCGGUUCAGGCGGCCGGAUAAAGGCCCCGGGAACGUGGCUCCCUCCGGGGAGUGUUAUAGCCCGGGGUGCAAUGCGGCCAGCCCGGACCGAGGACCGCGCUUCGGCUAGGAUGCUGGCGUAAUGGUCGCAAGCGACCCGUCUUGAAACACGGACCAAGGAGUCUAACAUCUAUGCGAGUGUUUGGGCGUCAAACCCAUGCGCGCAAUGAAAGUGAACGGAGGUGGGAACCCUCGAGGGUGCACCAUCGACCGAUCCUGAUGUCUUCGGAUGGAUUUGAGUACGAGCAUAGCUGUUGGGACCCGAAAGAUGGUGAACUAUGCCUGAAUAGGGUGAAGCCAGAGGAAACUCUGGUGGAGGCUCGCAGCGGUUCUGACGUGCAAAUCGAUCGUCAAAUUUGGGUAUAGGGGCGAAAGACUAAUCGAACCAUCU
rnacentral:rRNA from 1 species